rnacentral:tRNA from 1 species
AUUUAAAUAGCUUAAAUAUAGAGCAUAACAUUGAAGAUGUUAAGGUGAAUUGUGUAUGUCUUUAAAUA